rnacentral:misc_RNA from 1 species
UCCGGUUUAUCACCGGCAGUCUCCCUAAAGUUCCCACCUCGCGUGCUGGCAACUAGGGACAAGGGUUGCGCUCGUUACGGGACUUAACCCAACAUCUCACGACACGAGCUGACGACAGCCAUGCAGCACCUGUCACUCGGCUCCCGAAGGCACUCUCCCCUCUCUGGGAGAUUCCAAGGAUGUCAAAGGCAGGUAAGGUUCUUCGCGUUGCAUCGAAUUAAACCACAUGCUCCACCGCUUGUGCGGGCCCCCGUCAAUUCAUUUGAGUUUUAACCUUGCGGCCGUACUCCCCAGGCGGAGAACUUAUCACGUUAGCUGCGCCACUAAGGAUCUAUCGUAUCCCCAACGGCUAGUCCUCAUCGUUUACCGCGUGGACUAC